CAAAGCGUCGGAUGCAGUGGUGUAAAGCACGCCGCCACUGGACUCUAGAGCAGUGGAGACGCGUUCUCUGGAGUGACGAAUCGCGCUUCUCCAUCUGGCAAUCUGAUGGACGAGUCUGGGUUUGGCAGUUGCCAGGAGAACGGUACUUGUCUGACUGCAUUGUGCCAAGUGUAAAGUUUGGUGGAGGGGGGAUUAUGGUGUGGGGUUGUUUUUCAGGAGCUGGGCUUGGCCCCUUAGUUCCAGUGAAAGGAACUCUGAAUGCUUCAGCAUACCAAGACAUUUUGGACAAUUCCAUGCUCCCAACUUUGUGGGAACAGUUUGGAGCUGGCCCCUUCCUCUUCCAACAUGACUGUGCACCAGUGACCAAAGCAAGGUCCAUAAAGACAUGGAUGACAGAGUCUGGUGUGGAUGAACUUGACUGGCCCUGACCUCAACCCGAUAGAACACCUUUGGGAUGAAUUAGAGCGGAGACUGAGAGCCAGGCCUUCUCGUCCAACAUCAGUGUGUGACCUCACAAAUGAGUUUCUGGAAGAAUGGUCAAAAAUUCCCAUAAACACACUCCUAAACCUUGUGGACAGCCUUCCCAGAAGAGUUGAAGCUGUUAUAGCUGCAAAGGGUGGACCGACGUCAUAUUGAACCCUAUGGAUUAGGAAUGGGAUGUCACUUAAGUUCAUAUGCGAGUCAAGGCAGGUGAGCGAAUACUUUUGGCAAUAUAGUGUAUAUACAAGUUUCAACAAAUGGUUAAUUUUGUAUACUAUAAAAACAAGUUAACUAUAUUCUGAACAUACACUGUUCCUAACAAAAAGAGCACAUAAAUGAAUAAAUGAAGUUCUUUUUGGGUAAGCUGUGACUCAAGCAUCCUUAGGCCUACAGAAACAAACAGACUAUAUAUCUGAAUAUUCCGUGCGAAUUAAGUCAAACAUUUAUAAAUCAUUUUGCUUGCUGACAUAGAUUUUUAUUUUAUAAAAUAAAUUCAAUAACUUACCUAAGCGGACAUCCCAGGCUGUGUUUUCCACUUCUGAUGGAUCAAGGCUUUCAUCACGUGCACAAUCUUCUAACUCAAUGUUUUUUCCACUCUUGAGUUGUCUUGGGUUGCAGCAUCUUUGAUCCAAACUCCAUUACGAAAAAACAUUUUUUUUGUGACGAUAAAAAUUGGCAUGUGAAACAAUAUUGUUUGUUGAUCACAAAACCGCCGGGCUCUCUUUCUUCUCAACAGAUCCACAGGCGACCUCAAACGCCCUUCCACGAUGACAGGCAACAUCUCCAGUAUUAUAUUUUCCCCCAGAAUAAAUACAAAUAAUUCAUUGACAGGGGUGGGCGGGGUGUCGUGGAAACCAUCGAAUGGGGAAGGUUGUUUUUGUAAAGUUUCCAAUCAAAAUAGUUCCGCGUAUUAUGUCGGUGACUUAAGCGGGUGCAACCAAUGACAUUACUGUGUCCUUUCAACCGCGCGAAAAAAAACCAACUUAAAUUGUCAGCAUUGUUUACGGAAGUUAGUCUUUGUGGAAGUACGAGAUACUGUUUGUGGUGGCGUGCAAGAGAAACCUAAGCUUUUCUACUCACGUGACUAAGGGUCAGCAAACAGCAUCAAGCGCACUGAGUAUGAAUGACUUGAUGAAGCAGAGCGCUUUGCUCGUCAGCUUGAGGGUUUGAUGGAGAAGCAAGCUGCACACACUGCUCUUCUCGAAGAGGCUAUCCAGCGUCUUCAGCGCUUCAACGCGAGUUCGACGAGCAAAGACCGCAGGAAGAAUCGAGCCAUGGGCAUAAAAGGAGUUAAGAAGGCGCAUAACGUGGGCACUGCGGUAUGCUGGCGGACAAUACAGCAGUAAAUUGUACCUCGCCAAGAAGCUGUAAGGUGCCUCCAUAAUUCGGAAAACAACCCACAUAAAUACGAUCCACAAACCGGAAUAAGUUCACCUCAUAAUCAGGCAGUGAUGAAAAAUCUGCUGGAGGAAUUAAAGACGACUUUUACAGAUACAGACCACGAGUGUAUAAAGGGGAAUCAGAAAUUGUUAUUCAUGUUGCAGGACUUACUAUGAGACAUUGCAGAGGAAAUACUCUUUGUCUCCGCCAGGAAAGUCCCAGCUAAGAGACUCCAUUAAGGCAGGGGCUAAAAGACGAUUGCUGGAGUCCAGGUAUAGGGUCGUUCAAACAGAUGCAGAGAGAGAGCUGUGGCAGACUGCAAUGCUGGAACUGAUGUCCGAUGAGGGGGAUGCCAUUGUUGAUGGAAGACCGGUGUGGGUUGUGAGGUCUCCACCGGAGCUUUGCCAGCAGCUUCACCGCAGACUGGAGGCGGAUAUGUGCUGCGCUCUUACACACCGUCAGCGUGUAAGAGCUAAUGGAACCGAGCCAGAAGGACAUUCAUUUUUGGAACUCUAACAUACUGGUGCAUGUGUUUGUUUUAGUAUUGCUUUUAAUUUAAUUGCACCUUUAUAAUUGCACAUUUGUUCAUUUUUUUCAUAUUUUCUGUUUUUUCCUUAUUCUUA